rnacentral:rRNA from 1 species
UAAUACAUGCAAGUCGAACGAGUUCUGAUUAUUGAAAGGUGCUUGCAUCUUGAUUUAAUGUUGAACGAGUGGCGGACGGGUGAGUAACACGUGGGUAACCUGCCCUUAAGUGGGGGAUAACAUUUGGAAACAGAUGCUAAUACCGCAUAAAUCCAAGAACCGCAUGGUUCUUGGCUGAAAGAUGGCGUAAGCUAUCGCUUUUGGAUGGACCCGCGGCGUAUUAGCUAGUUGGUGAGGUAACGGCUCACCAAGGCAAUGAUACGUAGCCGAACUGAGAGGUUGAUCGGCCACAUUGGGACUGAGACACGGCCCAAACUCCUACGGGAGGCAGCAGUAGGGAAUCUUCCACAAUGGACGCAAGUCUGAUGGAGCAACGCCGCGUGAGUGAAGAAGGCUUUCGGGUCGUAAAACUCUGUUGUUGGAGAAGAAUGGUCGGCAGAGUAACUGUUGUCGGCGUGACGGUAUCCAACCAGAAAGCCACGGCUAACUACGUGCCAGCAGCCGCGGUAAUACGUAGGUGGCAAGCGUUAUCCGGAUUUAUUGGGCGUAAAGCGAGCGCAGGCGGUUUUUUAAGUCUGAUGUGAAAGCCCUCGGCUUAACCGAGGAAGUGCAUCGGAAACUGGGAAACUUGAGUGCAGAAGAGGACAGUGGAACUCCAUGUGUAGCGGUGAAAUGCGUAGAUAUAUGGAAGUACACCAGUGGCGAAGGCGGCUG